rnacentral:rRNA from 1 species
GACGAACGCUGGCGGCGUGCUUAACACAUGCAAGUCGAACGGAAAGGCCCUGCUUUUGUGGGGUGCUCGAGUGGCGAACGGGUGAGUAACACGUGAGUAACCUGCCCUUGACUUUGGGAUAACUUCAGGAAACUGGGGCUAAUACCGGAUAGGAGCUCCUGCUGCAUGGUGGGGGUUGGAAAGUUUCGGCGGUUGGGGAUGGACUCGCGGCUGAUCAGCUUGUUGGUGGGGUAGUGGCUUACCAAGGCUUUGACGGGUAGCCGGCCUGAGAGGGUGACCGGCCACAUUUGGACUGAGAUACGGCCCAGACUCCUGCGGGAGGCAGCAGUGGGGAAUAUUGCACAAUGGGCGGAAGCCUGAUGCAGCAACGCCGCGUGCGGGAUGGCGGCCUUCGGGUUGUAAACCUCUUUCGCCUGUGACGAAGCGUGAGUGACGGUAAGUGGUAAAGGAGCACCGGCUAACUACGUG